rnacentral:pre_miRNA from 1 species
GGUUAUUGAAUGAUAAAGCAGCAAGGACAGUGUUUGGUGAUUUUGACCAACUGAAGACUAUCUUUGCUCGCUCCAUCAAGCUAGCCACGAACUACGAGAGAU